rnacentral:sRNA from 1 species
CAGCUCGCGGGCUGAUUUGAUUGAAAGGUGUAGUACGUGGACUCCGAGUGAAACUGCUUUGUUGGAUUCUAUCACAAUGUACAUUACUUAAACGAUAAAAUUUUAGUGAAUUACAAAUGAAAUGUACCCCCCCCCCUCUCUCUCGUAGUGUCUUCAAACAAAUGACGUCUAAACAAAAUGUUUAAAGUGUCCAAUAAUGAAGAAGUCCAAUAAUUUAAGACAUGAUCACAUAAGAAACUCUAUCUAAAUUGUUAAAGUGUCUUAUAAAGAUUAAGUCAAAAAUUUUAAGGCAAGAUCACAGAAGGAACUUUAUAUACCGCCUUACUGAUUCUACGAUCCCUUUAUAAAAAUGAAUAUACUAAAUGUGCAGUGUAGGAACGGAAGUGUUCAGUUUUGGGUAGCGCUGUUUGUCGAAGCGAAUAUUAAACAAAUAGAAGAGGUAGCUCUGAUUUUAAUCAAAUGAAUUGAUAAAUGGAUGUAAAAAAAAUUCCUUAACAACUCAGUACGUUAUGGUAAUAAACUGCCACAAGUUUAAAAGGUGUUAUUCCUUUUGCAACAAGAUUUUCAAUGAACUUUUUGACAAUCAGGGUCACAUUCAAAAAUUGAAAUGAUUACUAUGUACGAAAUACAAUCAUUACGACAGAAUAGGGGACAUGUAGAGGUAGAUAUAUACCUCAAGAGAAUAAUAUGACCUGUAGAGUGACCUUAAGUAGAAAAAUCCUCAGAAUAUCAGUUGUCAGUAUUUCAUACUGUACGCAUAGCGCAAUUUUAAGCAUAUAUUUAGAUUUUUACUGUACGCGUAGUUCUAUGAUUAAGUAUUGGUUUGUAAUGAUAAGUUAACUCAAUAAAAUUGCCAUUGUAUGAAUGGACUCAUUAAUUGAAAAAAAAUUCAAUGAUGAAAAACAAAUAUUUUUGCCGCGAUUUUUUUUUAAUUAGUAGUUUUUUAAUAGACCUUGCACAUCCUUUUACAUAGCUGUCAUAUGCAAAUGAGUGCUAAACUGAAAACAACUAUAUGUGUAUAUGUUUUGGAUUCAGGAAAUUUAAAAGCGGAGAACUAGUACACUGUCAGGUAUUUGGGUUCAAGUAUUUAUAUUGACAAAUGGACUAGAAACGUUAUAUAAAAUAUACUUGCAGUAUACGCAAUUGAUAUCAAAACCCUUGAUAAUUUAAUUCUCAGGAAUAAAUUGAAAAGAGUGUAUUUUUUUUUCAAAAAACGUAGAGGAAAUGUACGUUACUACUACUGUAAUUAACAAAAGAAUUCUACAGGUAAAACUUCUUAUUACAUGUAUAGGUAACUUUGGUUAUUUAACAACAAUUUAUAUGCUCUCCAAAAAGGAUGUUGAAAAGAGUGUAUUUUUUUUCAAAAUAACGUAGAGGAAAUGUACGUUACUACUACUGUAAUCAACUAAAGAAUUCUACAGGUAAGACAAUUAUAUAAUUCAGGUACAAUUUAAGACUCUUGUUGUGUUAGCAAUGCAUACGUCCAACUAAAUCAACAAAACAUUCUUUGCACAAAUGAAAACUAUCAUCUAGUUUUUUUUUAUUGAUAAAUGUGUAUUUUGUGAUCUAAGUAAAUAAACAAAAUGUUUAAAAGGCUUCUUAUUUUUCUUAUGGUCAUUUCGUUUGGUGAUCAAGUUUGAAUUAUUUUGUUUUGAAUGGAUAUUGCAACUUAAUAUGUACAUGUAUCAUUUACUUUUUUUUGACAUUUAUAUACGUUUCAUAUGUUUAUGGACAAUUUCAAUUUGCUAUAUAAUUGUAAUGUACAUUUCAUAAUCAUCGUAGUUGGAAUAAAUCAAUAAAUUUCGGCUUUUUCAUGUCCAUUUUUUCUAAUUUGCAAUGUUUUGAAGUAUCACAAUUGCUUUGCAAGUCAUAGCAGACAUGUAAGAUACAAUUUAAACAGAUUGAAUUUGGUAACAUACAUUUCAAAAUAGUAGUUAUGAAUAAAAAAUAUCAAUAAAUCAACAAUUAGAUUUAAAAUUCCUACGGUGUUUAACAGGAAUAAUAACAAACAAAGUACUGAAGUACUAACGGGAGUUGAUUUUAUCGGUUAUUAUUUAUUGUAAAAUAAACGAUAUGUUUUUU